rnacentral:rRNA from 1 species
UAUCUCUGUAGAGUCUGCAUAUCAAUAAGCGGAGGAAAAGAAACUAACUAGGAUUCCCUCAGUAACGGCGAGUGAAGCGGGAAGAGCUCAAAUUUGAAAUCUUCAAGGUUCUACCUUGACGAAUUGUAGUUUAAAGAAGUGUUUUCUGUUGGAGUUUUGGUAAAAGUUCUUUGGAAUAGGACAUCAUAGAGGGUGAGAAUCCCGUAUUUGACCAUUAUUUCCAACUUUGUGAUACACUUUCAAAGAGUCGGAUUGUUUGGGAAUGCAGUCCAAAAUGGGUGGUAAAUUUCAUCUAAAGCUAAAUACUGGCGAGAGACCGAUAGCGAACAAGUACCGUGAGGGAAAGAUGAAAAGAACUUUGAAAAGAGAGUUAAACAGUACGUGAAAUUGUCAAAAGGGAAGCGUUUGACACCAAUGUUGUUUUCUCGAAAAUCAAUUAAAAAUGGUGGGAUUUUGUGUUGUAUUGACUUUAUCAGCUUUCUGCACUUUUUUCCUGUCUUUUUUAAUGCACUUUUCGUUUAACAAGUCAACAUCAAUUUCUUUUGUUGUAAAAGAGUCAUUGGAAGGUGGCUUUCUUUUCGGAGAAAGUGUUUAUAGCCUUUGGCCUCUGCAAUCGGAGAGAUUGAGGUCUGCAGCGUAGACUCUUCGGGGUUAGAUAGCAUUUGUGCUAAGUUAUAGCCUUUUAUAGACAACUUGUUGACUAUGAUUAGUCAUUGUAGCUUACUCGCUUAUGUCUAUUUUACCUACGCUUAGGAUGUUGAUGUGAUACUGCGAGCA